CAGCCCGGCGGCCGGCGGGCCGGGCUGUGCCGACCGCAGCUCGGCGCGGAUCGUGUCGUCGUCCCACUCGUCGCCGAGCUGG
rnacentral:tRNA from 1 species